rnacentral:rRNA from 1 species
UACGUAGGGUCCGAGCGUUGUCCGGAAUUACUGGGCGUAAAGAGCUCGUAGGUGGUUUGUCGCGUUGUUCGUGAAAACUCACAGCUUAACUGUGGGCGUGCGGGCGAUACGGGCAGACUGGAGUACUGCAGGGGAGACUGGAAUUCCUGGUGUAGCGGUGGAAUGCGCAGAUAUCAGGAGGAACACCAAUAGCGAAGGCAGCUCGCUGGGACGUUACUGACACUGAGGCGCGAAAGCGUGGGGAGCGAACAGG